rnacentral:rRNA from 1 species
AUUGAACGCUGGCGGCGUGCCUAACACAUGCAAGUCGAGCGGUAACAGGUGUAGCAAUACAUGCUGACGAGCGGCGGACGGGUGAGUAACGCUUGGGAAUCUGCCUGUUAGUGGGGGACAACACGGGGAAACUCGUGCUGAUACCGCAUACGCACUACGGUGGAAAGCCGGGGACCGCAAGGCCUGGCGCUAACAGAUGA